rnacentral:rRNA from 1 species
AUGCGGGCAAAGCUUCGGAUGGGAUUUGCUCCCUUCCUUUCAAAGCUUUACAUCUCCACCUGCCGGACAUCCUCACUACCUCCAUCUUCAUCGAGCUCGGUAAUACAACCAUGGCUUUUUAUUGGCCUCGGUAACCCCGGUGAGAAGUACCAAUCCACCAGACACAAUGUUGGGUUUGAUAUGAUAGAUGCAUUUGCAGAGUCUCAGGGCAUAUCCCUGACAACGCAUCAUUUCAAAGCACUAUUUGGUGAAGUGGUGGUAGAUGGUGUCCCUGUUUUGCUUGCCAAGCCUCAAACAUACAUAAAUCUGAGUGGUGAAUCUGCUGGUGCACUUGCUGCCUAUUAUAAACUGCCACUUCACCGUGUCAUAGUGGCAUAUGAUGACACGGACCUGCCGUGUGGAGUUCUCCGUUUACAACCUAAAGGAGGAUAUGGACGUCACAAUGGGUUGAAGAGUGUGAUCUAUCAUUUUCGCAAGAACCGGGAAUUUGGUCGAUUAAGGAUCGGAAUUGGACGACCUCCUGGUCAGAUGGAUCCCAAAGCUUUUGUGCUUCAGAAGUUCAAUAAGACUGGUCGGGAACGGAUUGAUUCGGCCAUAAAAGAGGGUUGCGACAUUCUGAAGAUGGUGGUGACCAAGGGUCUGACGGAGGCGGCGAGAGCGUCAAACGUGGAUCAGAAGUACAAGCAUCUGGUCUCACAUGACCAGCAGCUGUAA